rnacentral:rRNA from 1 species
GAGCGGGAGCCGGGAAUGGAAAGCCCGGUACAAGCGAGGUACCAGUACGGUAGGAAAAUCCGCCGUGCAAUGGGAAGACGUGAUGUGGAGCGAAAUAUAGUAGCGAAGCCCGUGAGCCAUGCGUCAAGAAAAGCCGCUAUUGUUUAUAUUGUACCCGUACCGUAAACCGACACAGGUGGAUGAGGAGAGAAUCCUAAGGCCGGCGGAAGAAGUAUUGCCAAGGAACUCGGCAAAAUGGCCCCGUAACUUAGGGAGAAGGGGUGCCUGCGAGAGCAGGCCGCAGAGAAUAGGCUCAAGCAACUGUUUAGCAAAAACACAGGUCUAUGCGAAACCGAAAGGUGAGGUAUAUGGGCUGACGCCUGCCCGGUGCUGGAAGGUUAAGAGGAGAGGUUAGACGCAAGUCGAAGCUUUGAAUUUAAGCCCCAGUAAACGGCGGCCGUAACUAUAACGGUCCUAAGGUAGCGAAAUUCCUUGUCGGGUAAGUUCCGACCCGCACGAAAGGCGUAAUGAUUUGAGCGCUGUCUCGGCAAUACAUCCGGUGAAAUUGAAGUGCCAGUGAAGAUGCUGGCUACCCGCGCCAGGACGGAAAGACCCCAUGGAGCUUUACUCCAGUUUGGCACUGGGGUCCGGUGUUGCAUGUACAGGAUAGGUGGGAGGCUGAGAGAUAGUGACGUCAGUUGCUAUGGAGCCGCUGUUGGGAUACCACCCUUGUGAUAUUGGGCUUCUAACCAGCCGCCGUGAACCGGCGGUGGGACAAUGCCAGGCGGGGAGUUUGACUGGGGCGGUCG